rnacentral:rRNA from 1 species
UUGAUCAUGGCUCAGAUUGAACGCUGGCGGAAUGCUUUACACAUGCAAGUCGAACGGUAGAGGGGGCAACCCCUUGAGAGUGGCGAACGGGUGAGUAAUAUAUCGGAACGUGCCCAGUCGUGGGGGAUAACGUAGUGAAAAUUACGCUAAUACCGCAUACGAUCUAAGGAUGAAAGCGGGGGAUCGCAAGACCCCGCGCGACUGGAGCGGCCGAUAUCAGAUUAGGUAGUUGGUAGGGUAAAGGCCUACCAAGCCAACGAUCUGUAGCUGGUCUGAGAGGACGACCAGCCACACUGGAACUGAGACACGGUCCAGACUCCUACGGGAGGCAGCAGUGGGGAAUUUUGGACAAUGGGCGAAAGCCUGAUCCAGCCAUUCCGCGUGCAGGAUGAAGGCCCUCGGGUUGUAAACUGCUUUUGUACAGAACGAAAAGGUCUCUAUUAAUACUAGGGGCUCAUGACGGUACUGUAAGAAUAAGCACCGGCUAACUACGUGCCAGCAGCCGCGGUAAUACGUAGGGUGCAAGCGUUAAUCGGAAUUACUGGGCGUAAAGCGUGCGCAGGCGGUUAUAUAAGUCAGAUGUGAAAUCCCCGGGCUCAACCUGGGAACUGCAUUUGAGACUGUAUAGCUAGAGUACGGUAGAGGGGGAUGGAAUUCCGCGUGUAGCAGUGAAAUGCGUAGAUAUGCGGAGGAACACCGAUGGCGAAGGCAAUCCCCUGGACCUGUACUGACGCUCAUGCACGAAAGCGUGGGGAGCAAACAGGAUUAGAUACCCUGGUAGUCCACGCCCUAAACGAUGUCAACUGGUUGUUGGGUCUUAACUGACUCAGUAACGAAGCUAACGCGUGAAGUUGACCGCCUGGGGAGUACGGCCGNCAGGNUUGAACUCAAAGGAUUGACGGGGACCC